AACCCAACCUGUUGCCUUCCCAAACUGUUCGUUCUCCUUCCACCCACGCAGAUGCGGCGCCGCCUGGUUCCCCUUCCCCUCCUCCCGCAUUGCACGCAGCGACAGCCAGGGCGCGUGCAGCGGUGCUGCCGCUCAGCUCACUCCCUCCCUCCCCUCGCGUCGGUUCCCUUACCUGGGCAGCAGUACGCCAGGGAGGCAGAGAGCUCCCCGAGCAGGCGCCCCACUCCCAUAGGCUGUGGCUCUUUCUCUCCCAUCGCCCUUGGUUUGUUCGUCUCCUCGGGCUGUCGCAAAACGAAUUCACCCUUCACCUCCCUGGUGAGUAAUAGCCACCUAUUUCACUGUAAUAAUCCGCCUUUUAAUUCCUGUAACUGAUGGUCAAGGUGAGAGGCCAAACUUUGGAUUUCUUUUAUGGUUGAGGGGAGUUUUUAAGAGGGAUUGAGAGCUAUUAAUUGCUUUGUUUGGUUAGGAGAUAUGAAAAUUUUGGUGGGUUGGGGAUGGGGAAUUGAGGAAUGAACUCUAUUCUUUUCAAUACCUAUGUAAGGGGUGGUAAUUUGAAGAUAAUUCCUCCUUUACUUCGCCUAAACAAAUCUCAGCCAUCCGUUUUCAUUAAUGACCUAAUGUCCAACUAAACUCCCUAUCAAUUUCCACCACCUCUACCAAACAAGAGACUGGGAUGAAAAAACAAAUUCCCAUCUUAAUCUCAUCAUCAAUUCCCUCAUGUAAACUCCCAAUCUCAUUCCCUCAAGUUGCCAAACAAGCCGUUAAGUCGUGCAUGUGCCCUCAACCCUUCCCUCUCCUCUUUUGCAGCACCAACCAUGUCCUUUGCAGGUUUGUAGCAUAUAUAUCAUGUGAUGGUUCAAUUUUAUGGUAUGGCCGGCGUUGGUUGGAAAUAUUUUCAGAUGCCCCUGUCAUAUGUUAAAAGGAAUGGCUGAAUGAGGAUCAUAUAAUAAGCAUGGAUCUUUCUAUAUCCUUCAACCCUGUUGUUGUCAUCAAAUGGUGGUUUUUUCAUGUUAAGAACGAAUUCAAGGUGGACUGGUGUUUUUUUAUAAUCCGUGAGAACUGGUAAUUAUCACCUCAAAUUUGUUCACUUUUAUGGUGGUUUCUUAAUCGUAUUGAAAUAGUUAAAUUUUAACUUAUACCUGCACACUAUCAUCUUUGAAUCACUUUGUCUCAUGUGACCAUGACCUUUGAUUUUAGAAGGUCACCAACAGUCAAUGGUGGGCUGAUUGAGUUUGCAGUUUUAUAUGUAUAUGUAUAUAUCACCAACAAAAAGUCAUUACAAUGAAAUAGAUGGAUGGUUGGUUCAGUAUUUUUUUUUUACAAAGAACUAAUUGCUCAGAUUUACUCGAUUGUCAGAUUUAUUACUCAAUACAAUUAAAAAAAAUCCUUUAGUUAAUUGUCUUGCGCGCUGCACAUACCACCAACAUUGGCAAUUCAUAUUGGUAUUUCCUUUUUUAUUCGCACCACAAUAAUUCGUGUAGUUGCUACUGUCUAAUUUAUACUCCGAUACAGAGUUCUUUUUUAUUUCUUUCAGUUCAGUCUUUAGGAUCAAUAAUAAGUUCAGAACUUCAUAUUACUGACCUGGUCUUUUUCUUGGUAUGUUCUUUCCUACAAUGAAGUGUACACUACGGGAUAUUUUGAUUUUUAGUUAUGGACAUAAUUUUUAUCUAAUAUUUUAUUUUGUUUUCCUACUACUAGAAUAUGCAGGGGAAAGAGGAAUCAAUAAUUAAAAUAUUGAUAUCGCAACAUGCUUCUUGCUGGUGAAUAAACACUUGAACAAAUCUAGCAGCUAACUUAGGUGCGGUCAAUCACAUAAUCUUUGUUAUUGAUCCUAUAAUUUCUUGCAAAUAUUCCUUAUUUAAGAAUCAAGCAAACUAAUUGUGUUGUAAGCCUAAAGAUUGUAUUUAAUUCCAGUCAAAAAAAAGAUUGUAUUUAAUUAUUUUUUUAAUUCAGUAUGCCUUACAUGCUAUACUGUGCACCACUAAAAAGUACGUCAUAGUUUAGAUUUUAGUAGUACGUGACGAGCAGAACUGUUGCACCUUUGCAUUCGUUUUGCAUAGCAACAAAACAAGCAUGUGGUUCUGUUAGUCUAUUGAUUUUUUUUCUCUUGCCUAUGUUUAUUUGUUGCUCCCAUGUCUCAAAAUAGAUGUCCUCUUAUAGGAGUAUUCAAUCAAGUGAUGCUCACACACCUAAUAUUUUUAUUUUCUAAUUCUCUGUAACUGUACAAUUUCACUCUUUUUCGCUAUGAUUUAAGUUUUGUUCUCCAGUUAAA